CAGCAGCCACGGUAACACGUAGGGUGCAAGCGUUAAUCGGAAUUACUGGGCGUAAAGCGUGCGCAGGCGGUUAUAUAAGACAGAUGUGAAAUCCCCGGGCUCAACCUGGGAACUGCAUUUGUGACUGUAUAGCUAGAGUACGGCAGAGGGGGAUGGAAUUCCGCGUGUAGCAGUGAAAUGCGUAGAUAUGCGGAGGAACACCGAUGGCGAAGGCAAUCCCCUGGGCCUGUACUGACGCUCAUGCACGAAAGCGUGGGGAGCAAACAGGAUUAGAUACCCCCGUAGUCCCUGUCUCUUAUAC
rnacentral:rRNA from 1 species